rnacentral:sRNA from 1 species
AUUCCCGGGCCCUGGCUUCUUGACGCGAUGAGGUUCCGGUUCUGUGGUGAUCUGGACUGUCCCGACUGGGUCCUGGCAGAAAUCAGCACGCUGGCCAAGAUGUCCUCUGUGAAGUUGCGGCUGCUCUGCAGCCAGGUACUAAAGGAGCUGCUGGGACAGGGGAUUGAUGUGAGUACAAGAUCCAGCACCCCAUUGUCCCAUGACCUUAUGACCACCACUGCCCUGAAACUCUGCACUAGGCCCGGGGAGACGGGUGAGCCAGCCUCUCAACCUCUCUGGGCACCUCCCUUCCUUCUUUCCAGCCUGUCUGUUCCUUAUCGCAGGAUCCAGGCUGGGGGUGAGGGGCUGGUGAGCAAGGGCCUGGCACCCCCUGAAGGUCUCCUUUCCCCAUAGUAUGAGAAGAUCCUGAAGCUCACGGCUGACGCCAAGUUUGGUGAGUAUCCCGCUGAGUCUAUAAGCCCCAGGCAACCCUGGGAACUUGGCCUGGUGCCUGGUACAGAGUGGCCCCCCACCCCUCCCAGCAGCAUCCUUAACUUACCUUCCCUAGUGGAGGAGCAUGAGGGAAAGAAAGACCGACAGUCCCACCUU